AUUUUUUAAAUUUAUCAUGACGGUAAUGGAAAUAAUAUUUUGUUGUAUGGGAAAAAUUGAAAAUAUAAAAAUAUAAUAAAUAUGGCAUAAUGUGAAAGCAAAGUGAUACAUAAAAAAAUUUUGGAAAAAAGUGAUAUAUUUAUAUAUUGUUGAAGCCAAGUCGGAUCAAAAAGAUAUUGUUCCAUAUUCUAAGUGGAUCGAUGAUAACCUAUAAAGGUUUCAUUCUAUCAAAGAAGAUUCAUGAAAAUUGUCCGAAAGAGAAGAAAGAUGGGGCGUUCUAUGGAAAUAAAGAAGUAUGUUCAAGAGCCAUUAAUCUUAUUCGCAGAUAUUGCUAAGAAGAGCAUAUAGUAUUGAAUGUAAAAUAUUACUUUGUAACAAGGAAGUUAAUAAUUGCAGUGUGCAUGAAACUAGAAAUAUGAUCUAAGAUAAACUGAAAGUUGGCAAUACCUUAAGGAAAAAUAUUCUGCAGACAAAAUAAAAUUCCUAAUGUGAAAUAUAAAUUGGAUUCCUACAUUUUCUGAUGAUUCAGAUAUUAGAAGAUUUUCUCGCUGAACUUGUAAGAGAAAGAGAAAGGCAUUUCUAAUGGUGAGAAACUACUGUACACAUUACUGUACAGAUCAUAUGUUAAAAAUAUUCUUAAUGAUCUUUGCUAGAUGAUUAUGAUAGCUCAAUAUUACAAAAUAUACAAAGUCUUACUCAUUCAGAGAUGCCAAAGUAAAUAUUGAGAUAACGAUAGAAGUAGUAAGAUAAAAUCUGUGAAAUCUGUGAUAGCAUUAAUCUCUUAUUAAAAUGAAAUCUUUUAAUAUUUGCCAGUAGAAUCAUUUCAAUUAUAAAUUGUUGGGAAUAGUAUUACAGAUAGAUCAUAGAUUAAAUUUUAAAAAGUACAUGUUAUAAUUUAAAGGAUCAUU